UGACUCUGGUUUCUCUUCAGAUUGCAUAAAUCUUUUGCCUUUUACUAAAGAUUUCCAUGGAGGAGAACUGGUUAAAUUUGUGUUAUAGUAGAGUAAGUUUAAAAUUAUUU
rnacentral:snRNA from 1 species